CGAGGGUGCUGGUGGCUGGCAGCUGCUGCCCUUUGGUAGCUGGUCCCUCAACUCAGUGGUGAAUGGCGACCGGAUGGAGCGCUAGGGAAGCGACGGCAGCGGCGGGUACCAGGUCAAGAUGCCAUGGUGAACAAAACAAAGCCCUUUCCCACAUGGAGCUUUAAUUCCAAAGGAGGGAGGGAGAAAACAACCAACCUAUGGGCUGGAACAGCUGGUCGUGAGUGUCAGGACUAGAGAAGAAGACAGGAACCAGGAUGGGAAGACGGACAUGUUACAUUUUAAGCUGGAGCUUCCCCUGCAGUCCACGGAGCACGUUCUCGGUGUGCAGCUCAUCCUGACUUUCUC
rnacentral:lncRNA from 1 species